rnacentral:lncRNA from 1 species
GUGCUGCUGGAUUCUGUUUGCUAGUAUUCUAUUAAGAAUUUUUGCAUUGAUGUUCAUCAGGGAUAUUGGCCUGGAUUGAGCAGCUUGACUACCACACAAAUUAAUCCACUCAAAUGUUGGCAAGUGGAGCAGAGUCCCAGGACAGAUCACAUUCUUAACCUCUAGAGAGUCUUGCAGGACCAGAGCCUUACCUUUCCCAGUCUGCAAUCUCUACAGGUACAGAAACACCCCCAGUUCAAGGAUCUUCACACCUGGAUUUAGGCCUACACCUGCAACUACCCCAGGCCAGUUAUCCAGGCAGUGACUUUCUGUACAGCUACAGUCACCUCUGGACACCUGCGGAGACUUUAAAAAUUUCCAGAAGGUCAGGAAUUUUUGGAGACCUUUCUUAUGGCUACGUUGCCUGCAAAGGUGAAUCAAUAAGCUUCUGAACUGACUUAGAAAAUGUUGCAGAGACUCUUGUGAACAGAUAGACCCUCUCCUGCCACUCCAGAUAGACGUAUCCGGGUCACACACACCUGAUUUAACAACAUCUCAUUAUCUCAGGCACCAAUUUGAUCUUCUACUACUUUGCAGACAUCUCUUCUGCAAACACCAGACAAACUGAGACAAUGAACUUCCGCAGGACCCAAAGCACCUCUUACUGCAGGAAAGAAGAUCCAGUGAGAUAGUUAGUCCACAAAUGGAAUGUCAAUCCAUAAACACACUUAAGUAACAGAAUAAAUUUAGUAUGAGCGUUUUUAUGUGGGAGCUCUUGAAAUGGUUGCUGCUCAUAUGUCAGAGACAUAUGCAGUUUAAGAAAGGUAGCAGUUCCAAUCCUGGUUUGGCCCAACAGUCACUGCAUUUUUGGUGGGGAAAAGGGAUGUGGGAGGAGAUGGUACAUCUUCAUCUUUUUCUCUGGGUUUUCUGUCAGAAAGGGAUGUUGCUUACUCCAGUGGCAAAAAAUGCCAGUGUCUUCUGCCAGAGUGGGUUACUGAGGGCCAUGGUGGUUCCACCUUGUGGCUGAUACAGAUAGUCCCUUUCUGCUUUUGUUUCUAGCCAAAAAAGAUGUUUCUCGCAUCUCAGGUAUGCAGACUUCAGCAGCUGUUUUUUCUAUAUGGCUAUUUUUUUUUUCUUUCACUCUCUCUUUCUCUCUUUUUUUUUUGUUGGCUUCACUGUGUUGCCAUAGUUUCUUAAAUGGUCCCUUGAACCCUCCCAGAGCUAUUUUGGUUUGUACAUAACUAUCUAUAUAUUUUUUUCUUGGGGGGAGUGUGUAGAGCUAAAGGCUGGUAUAUCCUGCUCCUGCUCCCCGAAAGUGACGUUAUUCCCCCAAGCUAAUAUUUCAGGCUUUCAAUUUAUUCAUGCUUUCAUCUGUUUAAACAUAAGUAGAAAUUACUUUUUCUCUCCACAUUUAGAUUUGAUCUAUCUACUUUAAUUGCUAAUAGUGUCUUAGUCAUAGAAUAGAUUAGUUAGAAAAAAGUGUUUUUGACAUUAUAAAUGAUUCUUUCAAUUUGUGUCUAAAAGUGGAAAAUACUAGAAAGCUUAACAUUUAUUAUUGUAUUCAGACCAGUAUUUCCUCCAGAUGACCUUUAUUACAACAAAGAUAAUUUAAUGAAGAUCUCUCUAAUGGUAAAGCUGAUGGCUUUGUGCUAUUACAAUAUCCUUCAAAUAAAGUGACGAUCUGGUGGAAAGAACAACUAAAGCAAGGAUUAGGAAGAAAACAGUUAAUACCUUCAUUUUGGUCUCACUCUGCAUUAAGAGUUUUCAUUGUGUUAAGGAUUUAUUAUACAUUAAGUAAUUUAAUGUUCAUUUAAUAAUAAAUGGAU